GGGGCUGCACUGGUUUCGACGUGAUGGCGAAAGCUGCUUCGUGAUGCAGGUCGAGAGUGAGUCACCUCUCGCAAAUCAAUGGCUCAAAACAAGUACAUGCGAACAACAUCGUACCCUUUGCUCGUAAAGCAGCUGCUGUUGCCUAAAAACCUCUCAUAGGUUCGAGCGUCUGUAGUUUGACUCCGUUAAGGAUUACAGACAAACCCCCAACGGAUGCGUUAGCUAGUUACCUCUGGUUGACUGGUUAGCAAAGACUUUACCAGAGCAUCCCAUUGUCCGGGAUAAAGGACAGUUCCCGCUUCGAGGAUCAGAGAAGCUAAACCUGUGAACGAUCGGGGGGUCAAUACCCGUUGCGGACAGCGGUUCGAUUCCGCUCAGCUCCACUU
rnacentral:tmRNA from 1 species